rnacentral:rRNA from 1 species
UACGUAGGUGGCAAGCGCUAUCCGGAAUUAUUGGGCGUAAAGAGCGCGCAGGUGGUUGAUUAAGUCUGAUGUGAAAGCCCACGGCUUAACCGUGGAGGGUCAUUGGAAACUGGUCGACUUGAGUGCAGAAGAGGGAAGUGGAAUUCCAUGUGUAGCGGUGAAAUGCGUAGAGAUAUGGAGGAACACCAGUGGCGAAGGCGGCUUCCUGGUCUGUAACUGACACUGAGGCGCGAAAGCGUGGGGAGCAAACAGGAUUAGAUA